rnacentral:misc_RNA from 1 species
CUCUUUCUUCAUUAGGAUAUGUCCUCACGGCGAGCGCGAUCUUCGAUCGCUGCCUCCGGACGGGGCGCCAGACGACUGGCGACGGCCUCUGGCCUGUAUGGGCGAGCGUCACUGACGUCGAGUUCGUAGAGAUCGGGCCUGUAGCUCAGUUGGUUAGAGCACACGCNUGAUAAGCGUGGG